UACGUAGGGGGCGAGCGUUGUCCGGAAUUAUUGGGCGUAAAGAGCUCGUAGGCGGUCUGUUGCGUCCGCUGUGAAAACUCGGGGCUUAACCCCGAGCCUGCAGUGGAUACGGGCAGACUAGAGGUAGGUAGGGGAGAAUGGAAUUCCCGGUGUAGCGGUGAAAUGCGCAGAUAUCGGGAGGAACACCGGUGGCGAAGGCGGUUCUCUGGGCCUUACCUGACGCUGAGGAGCGAAAGCGUGGGGAGCGAACAGG
rnacentral:rRNA from 1 species